CCCUCUAUAGCUCAAUGGCAGAGCGGCCGGCUGUAGCCCGACUUACCCCAGUUCGAUUCUGGGUGGAGGGA
rnacentral:tRNA from 1 species